rnacentral:rRNA from 1 species
GUGAGGAAUAUUGGUCAAUGGGCGGGAGCCUGAACCAGCCAAGUCGCGUGAAGGAAGAAGGAUCUAUGGUUCGUAAACUUCUUUUGCAGGGGAAUAAAGUGCAGGACGUGUCCUGUUUUGUAUGUACCCUGAGAAUAAGGAUCGGCUAACUCCGUGCCAGCAGCCGCGGUAAUACGGAGGAUCCGAGCGUUAUCCGGAUUUAUUGGGUUUAAAGGGGGCGUAGGUGGUUUGAUAAGUCAGCGGUGAAAGUUUGCAGCUUAACUGUAAAAAUGCCGUUGAAACUGUCGGACUUGAGUGUAAAUGAGGUAGGCGGAAUGCGUGGUGUAGCGGUGAAAUGCAUAGAUAUCACGCAGAACUCCUAUUGCGAAGGCAGCUUACUAAGCUACAACUGACACUGAAGCACGAAAGCGUGGGGAUCAAACAGGAUUAGAAACCCGGGUAGUCC